rnacentral:rRNA from 1 species
CAGCCGCCACGGGAAUACAAAGGGUGCAAGCGUUACUCGGAAUUACUGGGCGUAAAGCGUGCGUAGGUGGUGGUUUAAGUCCGUUGUGAAAGCCCUGGGCUCAACCUGGGAAUUGCAGUGGAUACUGGGUCACUAGAGUGUGGUAGAGGAUAGUGGAAUUUCCGGUGUAGCAGUGAAAUGCGUAGAGAUCGGAAGGAACAUCUGUGGCGAAGGCGACUAUCUGGGCCAACACUGACACUGAGGCACGAAAGCGUGGGGAGCAAACAGGAUUAGAUACCCCCGUAGUCCCUGUCUCUUAUAC